CGAUUUCCUUUUCUGGAACAGGCGGGCAAGCCUGGUGUUAAAAGAUGUAGAAUCAGACCUCAGAGAGUUGUGGGUGGGUGAACUCGGUAACUGACGUGGGGAGAUGCUCUGAGCACUGGAAGGCUCCCCCCGGGAGUCUCAAUUCUGUCCUGCUCCUCUAACAACCUAGCAUCUCGGGUCCACCUUUCUCAACUGAGAGGUCCUCAGUGUUUCCUGGAGAAAUGCCCCCGCCCCCCAGCUGAGUCCAGGCUCUCCACCCACUGGCUGUGGUCUAGCUGGAUUCCAUGCCCACUUUAACCUCCUUGCCCUUUGGCCCACUCUUCUUGCAUCUACACCUCUUUCCGCUGGAAGCUCCUCCUCGGUCCCCUGCUCUAUUAGCGACACUGUUUUUGGUGUGCGGUUCUCCAAGUGUGGUCCAGCGAGCAGCAGCAACAUCUGGGAUCUUGGUAGAAAUGCAGAACCUCAGGUCCCACCUGAGACCUUCUAAAGCAGACGCUCUGAGGACAAGGGACCCAUAAACCUACCUUUGAACAGGCCCUCCCCAGGGGGCAGGGUGAAGUUUCAGAACCUCUGAGAAAAUGUGUCUGCCCAGCUGGACUGUGAGCUCCCUGCUGGCCAGGGCUGAGUCUCAUUUGGUGGCUCCCAGAGCUCCUCCCAGAGGCCAUGAGGGACCGGGAAACAGCCUCCUGGAAUGCCGUGAGCUGAUGCUUCCCAGACUCUUCUCCCAAGCCCUGGAUGGAAGCCAGCCUCCUGGAGCAGGUCUGCCUGGGUGUGAAGCCCCAAUCUGCUGCCUGGGACACAGACCAGGAAGCCCUCCCCACCAAUACCUUCAGCUCCCAACCAGCCGCCCUUGAUCAGGGAUGCUAGAGAUGCUAGAGCUGGAAGGGCUCUGGGAAAUCAUCCUAUCCACCUCUGCAGCUACAGCGGGGGAUACUGGAGCAUGGAAGGAGGAGAUCAUGUGGAGGAUUGGGAGCAAGCACCCGACUCCCACACAGAGCUGCCCCCCAUCUGAACAGGCCCAGAGGAGUGAAAGUCCGUAUUGAAGCAGGUGGGUGAUGUGGGAAGGAGGCAGCAGACACAGUCAGGAGGAAGACAGAAGGAGAAGGAGGGGAUUACAACUCUGAGUGACAGCCUGAGAUGGCCAGUCCCCACCCAUUCACCUCCAGGACUUUAGGAUGGAACCAGGCCCUGCUCUCCGUGGUCCCCUGAUGAACCCAACCUCCCAGGGCCUUCAGGACUCACCUUGAAUUAUCCAGGGCAGGAGGAGCCAUAUCACAGCCCUGUCCCUUGGGCAGGGAGAGGGGGAAUCCCAGGCACUCUGCCCAGUGAUGCGGGAUGGACUUUCCCUGUGAUGGGGGACGGACUUCAGCCUUAAAAAAGCCCAGGGUCACUUGGGGGUCUUAAAGCUUCAGGAUGACCUGGGGGAGAGGACUUCUGGGACCUCUGUAAUUUCAGCCAAUGACAACCUUCUCACAGGAGCAGAGAGGAGGGACAGCCAGCCACCCAGGAUUGCUACAGAGCCUGGUGGUUGUGGGGGGGUGGGGCAUCCCCUCCCUGUCCCCCACCCCUGAGACUUCGUCUCGUCUUCAGCAUCAUUUUCCAUCAGCAGCAGCAGCAGAGUGAACUCAGCUACUGAAAAUGUUGCUGGGCCAAGCAGCCUCCUGAUAGUGGACCCCCACUUCUGAUGCAAGCAUAGAGAAACACUGUACCCAAGCCUACAUGAUAUUUUAAAAAAGGUUUUAAAUGCAGAGCCAACCUUAAAGGAAAGGGAGAUGCCAGGGCCAGUCACAAAGAGACAACAUAGCCAGGGACACUGGUCAGUCAGGGCUGAUGUUUCAGCUGCCCAUGAGGUGA
ensembl:lncRNA